rnacentral:pre_miRNA from 1 species
AUUUGGAGCAAUAACUGUUUUUUAGCAGAGGUAAAUCUCUAAUGAAAUUUCUCCAAGGGAAUUUUCUCUUCAAGUUAUACAUCUUAU